CUACGGGCCGCAGCAGUCGAGAAUCUUCCGCAAUGGGCGAAAGCCUGACGGAGCAAUGCCGCGUGCAGGAUGAAGGCCUUCGGGUCGUAAACUGCUGUCACCGGGGAUGAAUAAUGACAGUACCCGGGGAGGAAGUCACGGCUAACUACGUGCCAGCAGCCGCGGUAAUACGUAGGUGACAAGCGUUGUUCGGAUUUAUUGGGCGUAAAGGGUUCGUAGGAUGUUGAUUAAGAUUGGUGUGAAAUCCCAAGGCUCAACCUUGGAACUGCAUUGAUUACUGAUGAACUAGAGUGUCGUAGAGGAAAGCGGAAUUCCAGGUGUAGCGGUGGGAUGCGUAGAUAUCUGGAAGAACACCGACAGCGAAGGCAGCUUUCUGGGCGAUAACUGACUCUGAGGAACGAAAGCAUGGGGAGCAAACAGGAUUAGAUACCCCAGUAGUC
rnacentral:rRNA from 1 species